AUAGCGUCGACAAUUUGGGUUGGGUUCAACUUUUACCUGUUGAAGUUGUGUCAACUCAAGCAUAUGCUUAAGUUAAGCUUAUCUCGGUUGACUUGUUUAGUUAAAAUGGUCAAACUACCUGAUUCAUUAAUUUUGGUGUAGAAUUAAUGGGGUGUAACAAAAAUUUUCUACUCUAAAUGUCACAUGUUGGUUUAGGAUCAUAUUAAGUCAAUUUUAGAUUAUAUAUGAGUUAACUAAUCUGAUCCAUAUGUCAGAUCCCUCAAUAUAGCCGGCUAAUUUCAUAUCAAGUUUGUGAGAUGUGCCAAAAAUUGUCAACCUAAAUAAAAGACACUAUAACAUUUAACCUUUUUUUCUAUUUUUAUAUCUAACCCUUUUCUUUGGACAUGUGAGUAUGCAUAUAUAUAUAUAUAUAUAUGUCCUUGCAUAGAUACUUGAUAAUUCAAGGAUAAAAGUAGGGCUCGCAAUUCAUAAUGGUUUGAAUUGUGUCUGCUUAAGUUCAGGUUAUAUAUAAAGUGAAUGUUAACUCAAACAAUAAAUCUACUCAACAGCCACUAUUCCGUUGCACCCAUAGAAGCCAUGACGUGUAGACCAGCUCAUUAAUACGAUUGAACUAGUUUGUUUGCCGUUCCGUCUAAGCCCUAAAUCCUUAAGCUCUCAUUCGGUCAAAUUUCCCCCCAUGAUUGUUCAAAGCCAUCGAAGCCCCCCAACCCCCCCAAGCCAUCGACGCUAAGCAUAAACAUCGAUGGAGGCCCCUCCCUACCACUACCUCAGCCCCUCCCCACCAUGACCUUAGCCCUCUCUAGGAGAUUAGUCCCCAACUUUGGCACUGAAACCCCUAUUCUCUGCACCUUUUCUCCCUCUCGAAACCCAUCUAUGUUCUCUCCCUCACAAAACCCAACGCGGUCUGGUGAAAGCCCCCUCUGAACCUUCUCCCUCUCAACAACCAAAACCUUUUGCACGUUCCAACUUUGCUACUGAAACCCAGCCCCUUUCUCUCAUUCCCCGUUGAAAAAGGUAUAUCUUUUUCAUGGGAUGUCUACUCCUCUACUUCAUUCCCCACAUUUUGGUUAAACUAAAGGUUUUAAACUCCCUCUCUCAUUCUCUUGUUAGCUUCAGAGUCUGCAGAUUGCGAAACUGGAGGAAAUGCGAGGUGUGAAUUUUUUGUAUGUGCGGAUAUAUUUUAUCUGCUAUAAGAGAAUUUUUGUACAAGAGAGAAUAAGGCUUCGAAGACGUGGGAUGAUAUACUACUUCGUGAGUGUGACGUUUGGAAAAGGGAAGAUAAAGUGAGAGAGAUAGUGAAGAAUCUGAAAAGGAAAAGCAAAAAUUGUUGUUUUUGUACUGGGUCAUCACAUUUCUAAUAGUGUUUGCUUGGUUCGGAUAAAUUCCAUGUAAACACCAUGUUGUAUGAUGGAUUAGAUGGUUUUUGAAUGGUUGGCUUGUUAAGACCAUGUUUUGAUGAAAACUAUGUAACUUAUAUGUUGCUAAAUCAACCUGUGUAAUGAAAACUGGUUCUGCACUUCAAUCGACUUUAGCCAAGUCUUAUUAGUUGAUCGACUAUGAUCAUUUAAUUUAUAAUGAAAGCAACACUAGUUUAGUGUA